GAUCCUGGCUCAGGAUGAACGCUAGCUACAGGCUUAACACAUGCAAGUCGAGGGGCAGCAUGGUCUAGUAAUAGACUGAUGGCGACCGGCGCACGGGUGAGUAACACGUAUCCAACCUGCCGAUUAUUCCGGGAUAGCCUUUCGAAAGAAAGAUUAAUACUGGAUAGCAUAACGAGAAGGCAUCUUCUUGUUAUUAAAGAAUUUCGAUAAUCGAUGGGGAUGCGUUCCAUUAGUUUGUUGGG
rnacentral:rRNA from 1 species